rnacentral:rRNA from 1 species
GUCUGUAACCAUACCAUCCUGGAAUGUGUCUGAUCUUGUCUGAUCUCAGAAGCUAAGCAGGGUUGAUCCUGGUUAGGAUUUGAAUGGGAAAAAGAAGCAAAUAAAAAAGUGGCAUGGCU